rnacentral:rRNA from 1 species
GAAACAUCUUCGGGUUGUGAGGUUAAGCGACUAAGCGUACACGGUGGAUGCCCUGGCAGUCAGAGGCGAUGAAGGACGUGCUAAUCUGCGAUAAGCGUCGGUAAGGUGAUAUGAACCGUUAUAACCGGCGAUUUCCGAAUGGGGAAACCCAGUGUGUUUCGACACACUAUCAUUAACUGAAUCCAUAGGUUAAUGAGGCGAACCGGGGGAACUGAAACAUCUAAGUACCCCGAGGAAAAGAAAUCAACCGAGAUUCCCCCAGUAGCGGCGAGCGAACGGGGAGCAGCCCAGAGCCUGAAUCAGUGUGUGUGUUAGUGGAAGCGUCUGGAAAGGCGCGCGAUACAGGGUGACAGCCCCGUACACAAAAAUGCACAUGCUGUGAGCUCGAUGAGUAGGGCGGGACACGUGGUAUCCUGUCUGAAUAUGGGGGGACCAUCCUCCAAGGCUAAAUACUCCUGACUGACCGAUAGUGAACCAGUACCGUGAGGGAAAGGCGAAAAGAACCCCGGCGAGGGGAGUGAAAAAGAACCUGAAACCGUGUACGUACAAGCAGUGGGAGCACGCUUAGGCGUGUGACUGCGUACCUUUUGUAUAAUGGGUCAGCGACUUAUAUUCUGUAGCAAGGUUAACCGAAUAGGGGAGCCGAAGGGAAACCGAGUCUUAACUGGGCGUUAAGUUGCAGGGUAUAGACCCGAAACCCGGUGAUCUAGCCAUGGGCAGGUUGAAGGUUGGGUAACACUAACUGGAGGACCGAACCGACUAAUGUUGAAAAAUUAGCGGAUGACUUGUGGCUGGGGGUGAAAGGCCAAUCAAACCGGGAGAUAGCUGGUUCUCCCCGAAAGCUAUUUAGGUAGCGCCUCGUGAAUUCAUCUCCGGGGGUAGAGCACUGUUUCGGCAAGGGGGUCAUCCCGACUUACCAACCCGAUGCAAACUGCGAAUACCGGAGAAUGUUAUCACGGGAGACACACGGCGGGUGCUAACGUCCGUCGUGAAGAGGGAAACAACCCAGACCGCCAGCUAAGGUCCCAAAGUCAUGGUUAAGUGGGAAACGAUGUGGGAAGGCCCAGACAGCCAGGAUGUUGGCUUAGAAGCAGCCAUCAUUUAAAGAAAGCGUAAUAGCUCACUGGUCGAGUCGGCCUGCGCGGAAGAUGUAACGGGGCUAAACCAUGCACCGAAGCUGCGGCAGCGACACUAUGUGUUGUUGGGUAGGGGAGCGUUCUGUAAGCCUGUGAAGGUGUGCUGUGAGGCAUGCUGGAGGUAUCAGAAGUGCGAAUGCUGACAUAAGUAACGAUAAAGCGGGUGAAAAGCCCGCUCGCCGGAAGACCAAGGGUUCCUGUCCAACGUUAAUCGGGGCAGGGUGAGUCGACCCCUAAGGCGAGGCCGAAAGGCGUAGUCGAUGGGAAACAGGUUAAUAUUCCUGUACUUGGUGUUACUGCGAAGGGGGGACGGAGAAGGCUAUGUUGGCCGGGCGACGGUUGUCCCGGUUUAAGCGUGUAGGCUGGUUUUCCAGGCAAAUCCGGAAAAUCAAGGCUGAGGCGUGAUGACGAGGCACUACGGUGCUGAAGCAACAAAUGCCCUGCUUCCAGGAAAAGCCUCUAAGCAUCAGGUAACAUCAAAUCGUACCCCAAACCAACACAGGUGGUCAGGUAGAGAAUACCAAGGCGCUUGAGAGAACUCGGGUGAAGGAACUAGGCAAAAUGGUGCCGUAACUUCGGGAGAAGGCACGCUGAUAUGUAGGUGAAGCGACUUGCUCGUGGAGCUGAAAUCAGUCGAAGAUACCAGCUGGCUGCAACUGUUUAUUAAAAACACAGCACUGUGCAAACACGAAAGUGGACGUAUACGGUGUGACGCCUGCCCGGUGCCGGAAGGUUAAUUGAUGGGGUCAGCGCAAGCGAAGCUCUUGAUCGAAGCCCCGGUAAACGGCGGCCGUAACUAUAACGGUCCUAAGGUAGCGAAAUUCCUUGUCGGGUAAGUUCCGACCUGCACGAAUGGCGUAAUGAUGGCCAGGCUGUCUCCACCCGAGACUCAGUGAAAUUGAACUCGCUGUGAAGAUGCAGUGUACCCGCGGCAAGACGGAAAGACCCCGUGAACCUUUACUAUAGCUUGACACUGAACAUUGAGCCUUGAUGUGUAGGAUAGGUGGGAGGCUUUGAAGUGUGGACGCCAGUCUGCAUGGAGCCGACCUUGAAAUACCACCCUUUAAUGUUUGAUGUUCUAACGUUGACCCGUAAUCCGGGUUGCGGACAGUGUCUGGUGGGUAGUUUGACUGGGGCGGUCUCCUCCUAAAGAGUAACGGAGGAGCACGAAGGUUGGCUAAUCCUGGUCGGACAUCAGGAGGUUAGUGCAAUGGCAUAAGCCAGCUUGACUGCGAGCGUGACGGCGCGAGCAGGUGCGAAAGCAGGUCAUAGUGAUCCGGUGGUUCUGAAUGGAAGGGCCAUCGCUCAACGGAUAAAAGGUACUCCGGGGAUAACAGGCUGAUACCGCCCAAGAGUUCAUAUCGACGGCGGUGUUUGGCACCUCGAUGUCGGCUCAUCACAUCCUGGGGCUGAAGUAGGUCCCAAGGGUAUGGCUGUUCGCCAUUUAAAGUGGUACGCGAGCUGGGUUUAGAACGUCGUGAGACAGUUCGGUCCCUAUCUGCCGUGGGCGCUGGAGAACUGAGGGGGGCUGCUCCUAGUACGAGAGGACCGGAGUGGACGCAUCACUGGUGUUCGGGUUGUCAUGCCAAUGGCACUGCCCGGUAGCUAAAUGCGGAAGAGAUAAGUGCUGAAAGCAUCUAAGCACGAAACUUGCCCCGAGAUGAGUUCUCCCUGACUCCUUGAGAGUCCUGAAGGAACGUUGAAGACGACGACGUUGAUAGGCCGGGUGUGUAAGCGCAGCGAUGCGUUGAGCUAACCGGUACUAAUGAACCGUGAGGCUUAACCUU